rnacentral:rRNA from 1 species
GACGAACGCUGGCGGCGUGCCUAAUACAUGCAAGUCGAGCGAAUCAAAGGGAGCUUGCUCCCAGAGAUUAGCGGCGGACGGGUGAGUAGCACGUGGGCAACCUGCCCUGUAGACUGGGAUAACACCGAGAAAUCGGUGCUAAUACUGGAUAACACCUUUCUUCUCAUGGAGGAAGGUUAAAAGUUGGGAUUACUAACACUACAGGAUGGGCCCGCGGCGCAUUAGCUAGUUGGUAAGGUAAUGGCUUACCAAGGCGACGAUGCGUAGCCGACCUGAGAGGGUGAUCGGCCACACUGGGACUGAGACACGGCCCAGACUCCUACGGGAGGCAGCAGUAGGGAAUCUUCCGCAAUGGACGAAAGUCUGACGGAGCAACGCCGCGUGAGUGAUGAAGGUUUUCGGAUCGUAAAGCUCUGUUGUUAGGGAAGAACAAGUGCCGUUCGAAUAGGUCGGCACCUUGACGGUACCUAACCAGAAAGCCACGGCUAACUACGUGCCAGCAGCCGCAGUAAAAC